rnacentral:rRNA from 1 species
AUUGAACGCUGGCGGCAUGCCUUACACAUGUAAGUCGAACGGUAACAGGUCUUCGGAUGCUGACGAGUGGCGAACGGGUGAGUAAUACAUCGGAACGUGCCCGAUCGUGGGGGAUAACGAAGCGAAAGCUUUGCUAAUACCGCAUAAGAUCUACGGAUGAAAGCAGGGGACCGCAAGGCCUUGCGCGAACGGAGCGGCCGAUGGCAGAUUAGGUAGUUGGUGGGAUAAAAGCUUACCAAGCCGACGAUCUGUAGCUGGUCUGAGAGGACGACCAGCCACACUGGGACUGAGACACGGCCCAGACUCCUAAGGGAGGCAGCAGUGGGGAAUAUUGGACAAUGGGCGAAAGCCUGAUCCAGCCAUGCCGCGUGCAAGAUGAAGGCCUUCGGGUUGUAAACUGCUUUUGUACGGAACGAAAAGACUCUUUCUAAUAAAGAGGGUCCAUGACGGUACCGUAAGAAUAAGCACCGGCUAACUACGUGCCAGCAGCCGCGGUAAGAC